GCGGGAAGGAAAGAUGUCUGCUGUGCCUUGGCACAGAGGAAAGUCCGGACACCUUGGGCAGGAUACUUCCUAACGGGAAGCUGCAGCAAUGCAGAGCCAGCUCCACAGAAACAAACCGCGUAGUCCCAUGGGGGCUGCGCAAGGGUGAAAUGGUGGUGUAAGAGACCACCGGUACCGCUGGUGACAGCGGUAGCCAGGAAUGCCUUAUCCGGUGCAAUGCCAAAUAGGAAAGCUAUGGUUAAGCCCAAACCGCUUUCGGGUAGGCAGCUUGAGCCAAAGCGCGAGUUUUGGCCCAGAGGGAUAGACAUCGGUUCCGGCUUGUCCGGGAUUACAGAAUCCGGCUUAUUGACUUCCCGCGAAC
rnacentral:RNase_P_RNA from 1 species